UUCUUGUUUGAAUGAUGACGAGGUUUUGAAUUUGGGAAUUGGGGGUGGAAGGCAAAUUGAUAUCUAAAAUUGAGCUUGAAGAAUGGCAGGGCAAUUCUCCUUCGGCAGAGACAAUGGAAGUAAUUUUCAUUGGUGGUAACGCCCGAUUUCUUGGCGCAUCAACCAGCAUAACAAUGCCACAGAUGCCAUUGUGAUAGAAAGGUUUACAAAGGAAGGACCAUACAUUUGGAAUCCAGGCUACCUUUUCAAGAUUAUUCACUGGGAGACGGAAUAAUUUCAUAAUCAUGAGAUUGUUUGUUGCCUCUUCAACAUACCCAAAGUAGACAAAUGCACCCAAAACCAAAUGCACACUCGAUGGUAUCAUAUCAGAAAGGUUGGGUAGCUUAAACAUUCCAAGCUUCAUGAUUCGUGUUUAAGAGUUCAUUUGGUUUUUUAGAUAUAAGGAUAAGAAUUAUUCACUGGUCUUAUCCUUAUGCUUUUACCUGAAUACGAUUCCACUCUUCUAGUAAGGCAUCUACUUUUAAGAUUAACUGCAGAGAGAGGUGAAAUUGUUUUUGUUAGUUUCAUAAUUACGAAUCCACGUCUCCGAACCACACAUUUUAACAACUUCUUCUCGCUUAUAUGGUAUAAAUUAUUGGCAAUCUCCUUUAGCCUACAUGUCUUGCUUCGAUCACUGAACUGUUGUGAAUGAAUCUCAUAUAGAAGCUUGGAGUGAUUUUAAGUUUGUAUUACACUAAAACGUAACCUUUACAUUUUCUGUUGGUCUUGGUCUCGAGUUUUUGUGGAAUUUGAAUAUUCUUCUUUCCUUUUGAGAAACAUUCCCUUUGUUACAAAAUUCUCAUCAUCAUGACAUUAGUGAUCUUGCCAUUGGUGCCAGGAUUUGAGAAGCAGGGACCUCAAAAACGUAUGUAAAAAUAAAAUAUUUUAAGCAUGGUUAGUCCAACUCAUUCUAAGUCAAUGCAUUAUAUUUAGCCUGUAAAUUUACUUUAUCAUUUGGCUUUAACUAAUUUCCAUUUAAGAUAUAAUUUUUAAGCUUCACAAUUUUCUAUUCAUGGUAUUGCCUUUCCUGGCAUUAGAUGAGAAUCAUGUAUGUUAAUGAAUUUCACAGGCCCCCAACCCCUGUAAGUUUUAGGUCCUUGUUAAACUGCAUAAUCUCCAGAGAGUAGAGAUUAGAUUUAUUGAAGUUUUCCAACAAUAUUUCCAAAGGCAUGAAACAGCCAAAGUUAUUAAUAGCAUCUGCAUGCCCUCCUUUGUGAAAUCCAACAUAUCUCUUGAGUACCUUUUCAAUUUAUAAAUUGAUAGGUUAAAGUCCCAGCAAAGGGAUAGAGAAUACGCUUUAGAAAGGGGCUUUUCUAGGAAAGUGAUUCAUGCUAGUCACUAAUAAAUCAUGUUAUAAAGAUAUUGGGAGGAAACUGUAAUAGAGUUUUCUUACUAUCUGUUUCAGAAAUACAUACAUUUAUGAUGGAAAUAUGUGUAUAUAUAUAUAUAUAUAUACUGAAGAAGUUCAUGAACUCAGCCAAUACUUGAUCCUUAACAUUUCUUUGCUCUGUCAUAAGCAAGGGAAAAAAUAAUUAGCUGCUGUAGAUAAUCCGAAAGAAUCUAUAUCAUUGAGUAUGCAACAGAUUAUGAUUAACAAUCAAUCAAGGAUAGUGAGAAUACUUUUAGUGCAUAAAAACCUGUACUUGGAGUCUUGGACAUACAAGAACUUAGUAAACUGGGCGAAGAAGAAGAUGGAUGUCAUAUAGAAGCUGAAGUAUUUGCAGCAUUGUGGGAUCGAAUGGCAGGGCAAUUCUCCUUUGGCAGAAGAAAGGAAAGAAUGCAAGCAUGCAUUAACGCAUACAUGUGCAUUGUCCGACUGCCAAAGGAGAAUCGCCCUGUUAUUACCUUCCCGACAUAAGUAACUAUCUCCCUCAAAUAAGGCUGUGCAUGUGAUGUUAGUAAGGAGUCACGCCCUAAAACCGCCAUGAAACCAAGCUUUAUAUAGGCACCCCCUCCUGUGUACUGUCAAUUGGAUAUGCUGGAGGAGGAGAUGGCAUAUGCUGUGGGACUAUUCUUCUAGGUUUUUCCUCCUUACUUUUUUACUGGGACCAUGGUACAAAGAGUUCUGACCUUCACUCCGAUCUUCCUCUUUAUUUGUUUAUUCUAUGGAUAUGCUCUUUUGCGUGCGAAGAAAUUGAAAUAUCAUUUGUUUGCCUUGUCCCGUCCUAAGGAAUGUGAUCCUUGAUUUGCUUCCACAGGAAUAGGUUUCAAGAUUCCUCUUUGCUUAUAUGUUUUUUUUUAUCCUUAGUAGCUGUGCUGACAAUACUGACUAAAUCAUCUUUCUUUGUAGGAGUUAGUUGCUUUCCACAAAGAAAUUUUAAGCACCAUCAAACUUUUGAGUGAGUUUCUUAGCCAUGGGAAGGACCUCUUUGUUAAUUAUCUGCAGAAUUCCCUACAUAAACCUCACAUUAUAAAUUUCUAGAUCUAUUGUUCUUCUCACUUCACUACUGCAUUAAAGUUCAAUAAUGUACUCGAAAACUUUCACUCUUUUGGUAUAAUGCUUGAGUCGAACCCUCACAUGCACGUAACUGAAUCCCACACUCGCACAUAUUCUUAAAUAAUGUGAAACAAACCGGAGAGUUUAUUCCUGUGAGUUAAGUGAAGUGUCUGUACAUUAGAAUAUGCUUCAAAUAUCCUUGCAGUAGCAAUAUGCAGCAUUUGUAGUUGGCUAUAAAUACAGCUAUGUUCUGAAAAUAAUUCAUCAUAGCCGGAGAUCAAAUUCGAUAUAUCCUAGUUGUAUGGAGGUAUAUUACCGGGCAAUUACUCCUUUGGCAGAAAGCCAUUGUAUUGUUGAUGUUGCAUGAAUGGUGUUCUUGAGCUCACUGCCAAAGGAGAUUUGCCCCGUAAUUCGACCAUACUGAUCGCUCUCGAUUCUCUGUUUUUUUUUAAAGGUGUUGCAUUGAUCAUCGAUCAGCUUCGUGGCAAGUUCAUGAGGUUUUAUACAUUUGGUUUAAUUUUGAGUAUCUAUUGUAAACUUGCAUUCCCAAUUAUUAUUAUUAUUUUUUUUUUAUAAAUCAAAACCUGUUCAAAUAAAUAUUUGUACAUUGGACUUGUCACGAAAAUUCACACUGUACCACUUUUAUUACGUGCCCGUGCAAACGUA